UACGGGGGGAGCAAGCGUUGUUCGGAUUUACUGGGCGUAAAGGGCGCGUAGGCGGCGCCGCAAGUCGACUGUGAAAUCUCCGGGCUUAACCCGGAAAGGUCAGCCGAUACUGCGGGGCUAGAGUGCAGAAGGGGCAACUGGAAUUCUCGGUGUAGCGGUGAAAUGCGUAGAUAUCGAGAGGAACACCUGCGGCGAAGGCGACUACCUGGCCUGUUUCUUGACGCUGAGGCGCGAAAGCUAGGGGAGCAAACGGG
rnacentral:rRNA from 1 species